ACCCUCAAAUGGUGGCUUUGAAGCAGCAGAUUUUCACUCGAAUUUUCAUAAUUAUACCGUAGGGAACAGAGAAAGUUGAUGAUAAAAAUGAUGAAGUUACUAAUGACAGCAAGAUAACAGAGAGAAUUUUAACCAGAACUUUGCUGACAAACAUUGAAUUAUGAAAUGUACAUGUACAUGUACAUCAAAAAGUGUUGAUAGAAAAUAUGUGUUUCAUUUACCCAACACAUUCCCAGAGACUCAAAGUAUCUUGAGAUAUGUUAUUCCGCUUGUCAUACUGUCCCUCCCCCACCUCCUCUGGUCUCUCAUACAGAUGUGUGUUUGGUACCAAUACAAAAAGGAGAGUCAUUUCUUACUCCAACCGAUACUGUCCAGUAUAUUCUACUUCUUGUCUUGUGUUCCUAUAAGUACAAGUCAAUACUUGAUUCUGUUGAGAAGGAGAGGACCGGCCUCUCAUUGCCAUGACAGCAGAGAUCAAGUACCAGUUCCAAUGGGCCCCAGUCCCCUCAGUGUCCUCUUGAGUUAGGGUCCCUCCCUCUUGAAGAUACUCCUCUUACUCCUGAUACCUUGAGGUUCUCUUGUAUUGAUUGUUUUGACAGUUCAGUGGCUUCUGCUUCAGAUCUUAAGGAGGUACCAGCUGGGGAUAAGUCAAUGUAGUUCUUUGGAGCUGAGGGUAUGCUCCACCCACCAACAAUAGUCCCUCUAAUCAUAGAUAUUAUAGACUACCUAAUGUACAUGUAGUCUAUAAUAUGUAUGUCUUAAUGAAGCUGUUGAUGUCUCUGGAACAAUUCAGUGUUAGUCUCAGAUUAGCUGGAGGGUGUUUGUGUCAGCUGUUAGUUGAUCACAAAUCAAUUCUUAGUAAAGUACUAGCAACUAUUGAUUGGAGAAACCUUCUAAGUGAUGCUCCAUUGAAACUAGCAGAAGCUAACAGCACUGUUGAAAUUACAAUGUUACUGUACUCUCAGGAGUGGCAGACAUCUUUACAGAAAACAGUUGCUGUAUAUUUCACAUCACUAAUCACAGAAGGACGGUAAUCAAUAAUUACUUUUAAACCUCAUGUUAAUGAUGUUUGUCCUCUUGUUUUUAUUUGUCUAUUUCAGUCAUGUUACUCACAUCUCUGAAUCUUUCAUUUAUAGUCUGGCAUUGAAUGUAUCACAAAGUAUCAAAUCAAUCAACUAAUUUAUUCGAAGAGUGGUUAUCAUUAUUCAUUAGUUGAUCGUAAGAUGAGGAAAGCUGGAUUACUGAGACACGCACAAAUUAACAGCAGAAGCAUUGUGGAGAAAACUGGUCAUUCUCAGGAUUCUGAUGUACUGAUUGAACUGUGCGAAUGUAUUUUAAUAUCUUUAUCAUCCCUUUUAUAAACAUU